rnacentral:rRNA from 1 species
AUUGAACGCUGGCGGCAGGCCUAACACAUGCAAGUCGAGCGGAUGAAGGGAGCUUGCUCCUGGAUUCAGCGGCGGACGGGUGAGUAAUGCCUAGGAAUCUGCCUGGUAGUGGGGGAUAACGUCCGGAAACGGGCGCUAAUACCGCAUACGUCCUGAGGGAGAAAGUGGGGGAUCUUCGGACCUCACGCUAUCAGAUGAGCCUAGGUCGGAUUAGCUAGUUGGUGGGGUAAAGGCCUACCAAGGCGACGAUCCGUAACUGGUCUGAGAGGAUGAUCAGUCACACUGGAACUGAGACACGGUCCAGACUCCUACGGGAGGCAGCAGUGGGGAAUAUUGGACAAUGGGCGAAAGCCUGAUCCAGCCAUGCCGCGUGUGUGAAGAAGGUCUUCGGAUUGUAAAGCACUUUAAGUUGGGAGGAAGGGCAGUAAGUAAAUACCUUGCUGUUUUGACGUUACCAACAGAAUAAGCACCGGCUAACUUCGUGC